GGCGACGCUCAGCAUCUGCGGAUACAACAACAUAGCACGAAGAGGGGGACGCUGGAUCAGGCUGGAGGACAUGGCAACUGCUCUGAAAACAAAAGCGCUCCACGUUUGCUGGGAGAAAAGACGCCAAACUGAAUCUCGCAGCGGGCGGGAGCGCGCAUCAUCGCACCGUGCACGAGCCCGGCGCUCCGUCUGUCUCCAGCGCGGAGGCCGCCGCUACAGUAAUCCGGGCUGGUUAUUGGUUAUUCCUUAUCGGAAAAAAAACUAAAGUUAAGAAGAAAAAGUGCCAUAUCUCAAUCAGACAAAUUUGGAGUUUCCCUUUGUUAUUGUUUUACCCCCCUACAUUUUGCUUCAAUAAUCCCGGCAGGCAGGCGCUGAGCGGGCUUGGUUUGCGUCAGAAGUGACUCACAGAGAUUCACUCACAUUCCCGACAGAGAUCAGGAGCAGCCAGGAUCUAACCUGAUGCCAUAAAUCAGCGCGGUUUCCACGCUCCUAAUAGCCCACCCUGAUUGAUUUGUGAUCCUGGGCGGAGCCGCCCCCUGUGGGGGGGUUAUUGGGUUCUGGGACAUGCAAAGUUCAACACACAGCUCGGAGUCUCUGUCUCUGUUUAGGCUGAUGGCUUUGUAGUCUUUUAGACAGACAUACAAGAGUUUCCCUUUGUGCUCCACCUGGUUCCCUUGGACCGAAAAAGCUCUUUUAAAGAUUGCCAUAGUUUUGCUUCGACACAUUUUAUUAUUAUUUUGUACAUGGAGUAUCAUUUUCAACACUCAUCAUAAAUAACAAAUAGUUAUUAAGUCUUCAGAAACUUUAACCUAAUAGUUUCUAGCUUUUGAUGUAAAGAAAAGACAAAAAGUAAACAUACCUUUUAAAUGGG